rnacentral:lncRNA from 1 species
UGUGUCUCCAUUAAGCUGAGGGUCCUUUCUCAGCUCCCGUUCUCCAGGGAACGUGGAUGGGUGAGUGCUGGGACAUCAAAUCAGUGCACAAGAGGGGUAACAUUUGUUGAAUUUAUUAAUAACACAAAGCAAAAAGCACCCAACUGGGUGCUUUCGCCAGCUCUGCACAUGGAAAGAAUGUGACCUCCUAGUGGUGACGUUUCACUGUGUGUGCCGCAUAGCCUUGCCCCUCAGUUUCAUCUGAAAUCCAAAAGCUCACCAGGUUAACUCAUACUUUUGUGCAGGAUCCUAAAGCCAGCUGAGCAUUUAUCAUCCUUGAGGAAUCCGGCCCGUAGAGGUUUAAUUAAUUUUUUUCAUACACACAUAAACAGAUUCAAGAUGUUCUUGCUCAACCAGGGGAUAAAGGGUUCUCCCACUAUCUCAGUUCUCAAUCAGAAAAGCGGUCAGUUCCAACGUGCCAAGAUUCUCCCAAAGCCUUAAUUGCCAUCAUCUGUGUUUACUAACGUAGGCUUAUAAGCAUCCUGAAAAACAAGGACAAUACCCUUUUCCAUCAUGAACUUAGAAAUCCAGAUAGUUCCAGGCUUGAGUUGCUUGUUAGAUGUGCCUGUAGCCUUGACUUGUCUGAUAGGAAUAGAAGAUCCAUACUUCAAAAGUAAUGCUGGCCAGCUUCAGCCAGCUGCCCAGCCUCUCAAGAACAGAGAUGUUAAAAGCCAUAAUUCCAGCUUGGAAAAGUACAGAGUAUUAACUAGAUCUCCCCUGUUCACCUAGGUUCUCAAGGUUCACUUAAGUUCACUGUUCUUCUCAAGUUACUGCACCAUGCUGUAAGACAUUGUGAAACAGGUUCCUCGCUGUUAGUACCACGUGUGGGUGGAUGCUAAAGAGUCUUAUCUCUAGUGAAUCCUCAUCUGAUAUAAAAAUGAGCUACAACAUGAUUGCAUUCCAUCUGGGGAUUGGGCUAUACACAAUAUAACGAUGCUGGUAUCACAUAGAAUUAAAAAUGAAUGAUUUUGCCAUGUAGCAGCUAUUGGGUGAUCCAGCUCGGUUCCUUGGGAAACAAACUCAGCACCUGGAAAGAGCCACCACAAUGCCUUUCCUUCCUCACAGAGCAUCCCAAGCACCCCAGCUUGCUUCUCCCUUCCUCCAUGUCAGAAGGCAGGCUAUGUUCCCAGCGAAGUCCAAUGAAGCUGAUGAGCCUCUAAGUGAUCUCACUGAUCAUAGAAUCAUAGAAUCGCUAAGGUUGGAAAAGACCCACAGGAUCAUCCAGUCCAACCAUUCGCCCUUCACCAAUGGUUCCCACUAAACCAUGUCCCUCAACACAAUAUCCAAACGCUCUUUGAACACCACCAGGGUCGGUGACUCCACCACCUCUCUGGGCAGCCCAUUCCAGUGCCUGACCACCCUUUCAGAGAAGUAGUAUUUCCUAAUGCCCUGAUCUUGAAUAAGGAAAAAAUGAUUGAGCUUAGAAUUCAAAGAAGUAAAAAAAUUCCACCCUUCUAUCCUUCUCUGCCAAAGCCCAAGUAUUUAAAUUGAGUACAAUUGCAACUGGGCAAAAACAAAAUGAAACAAACCAAGACAAACUGAAUAAUGUGAUUACCUGGGAUCUCAGUCUUGUCAUUGGGAAUUCAGGUUAAAAAAAUCUCCCAAAAAACCAAAAUUUAAAGCCAAAAUCAUCUACAAAAUGAGGGAGUCCAGCACGGGGACAUGGCUCCUGCCGUGGGAUGAUUCUACAUGUCAGAUGUCAUUGUGACAGACUGCCCUCUGCUGCCAUCACACAGCAACAAAAUGUAAUUAAUAUUGAUGGGGAGGUUCAGCCUUCUCUGCUGUACUGCCGUCAUCUGCCUCUGAUAUCAUGGGCCAACAUAAUAAAAUAGGAGGCAUCACUUUCGGAGCACUCCGGAAUUUUCCUGCAAAUCUGUGCAGUUUGUCAGCUUCCACUUUGCACUCAGGCAGUGCAGAGGAAGCCAUGCUCUUGGCCAGGUGCUGGUCCUGAUGACAGGGAACCAGGGGUGCUGAGAGGUCAGGGAACAGCUGGAAGGGGUCUUCAGCAGAAGGAGAUCCAGGAGGACUGUAUAUUUUCAGAUGUGAGGAACCUCAAAAUCUUUCAUGCAGGAUGAACUUAGAUCCCAAGUUACCAUACUUCUGGCAUGUUUUAGUGUUAAAAAGUAAAAUACCAGAAUUUGGGAUUCUCUGUAGCAUGAGAAUGCCUUUCCAGAGCAGCCUGGAGAAGGAGUUUGUUCACAGAUCGCUACAGCUAUUAAUAAAUGUCAUUACUAAUUUUUUUUGCUUUAUUAAGCAAAAUAACACGAAUCCUUUCCUCAUAAAUUGUAACAGGAACUCCUCCCUGCCUGGUCCUCUGGCUGACGAGGAUUGUAGGUCUAAUUAUUGGAACAUGUGCUUUAAAGUGUUUUAGUGUCAUGUAUUCCUUUAAUUGUAUUAUACCGUAAGCCUGCUCUAGAAAUAACACUAUUAAAGUUUCCAUUCAAAACAAAGAUCAAUCAAAGAGACAAGCAAUUAUUCCAUUAUCCUUAAGAAGCUCAUAACAUAAUGAAAGGAAUGUUAAAAAUAAACAAAAUGGGUGUACUUGAUUGAAAGAAUAGAUCAGUCAUAAUGACUUUUCUCAGAGAGUAAAAAAUUAACCAGGAUUAAGUUUUCGCAGUUUUGAAUACAUUACAGAUUCCCUGUUUCUAACGAUUAAAUAGGGAAAGCUUUCUCCAACAAUAAACUAAGAGUGAAAUUAGUAACAGUUGUAUCUGAGUAGAAGCAAGAGAGAAGACUGAAAGCCAAAGUUGCGGUCUUAUAGAGCAGGAGAGGUUGAAUAACAUUAGGUUUGACCAACCCCUCUUAGAGUCCUCAGCCCAGAGGCUCAAGGGCAGCCCAAGAUGGUGAGCAGCAGCCUGAGGAUGUGCUUGGUGCCUACCAGCAGGUCCCUGGCCUUCCAGGUGACUUUGGAAAGUCUCAAGAGUGAAUAUGAGGUACAACUCAAGGUAAGACCCUGUGUUGCCUUCUAAGACAGCUACUCCAGUGAAUGAGGUUCCUUUGGAAUUUAAUAGAGUUUGAUCUAUGGGCCCCACUAUAAGUGUUUUCAACUUUAAUAUUGGAGCCUUUCUGGGAACAGGCUCUCUGGGGCAGCAGCCAUGCCAUCAAGCUGCUGGAGUUCAAGAAGCAUCAAGAAGCUCUGUCAUAUGGUCUGAUGUUUGGUCAGUCCUGGGUGGAGCCAGGAGUUGGACCCAAAGAUCACUGUGGGUCCCUUCCAGCUCAGGACAUUCGAUGAUCCUACAAGGUCAGGUAAAAAAGGAAGCAGCAGCGUAGAAGGACAUCAGAGAACUUUUGUAUUAGAAAACCCCUCCCAAGAAACUGCAAAAAGAAAAAUCCAGACAGAUAAGAAUUGGAACACUGGAGGAGCUUUUCUCUCCCCUCAGUCAUCUACCCAAACCUGACUUGUGUGACUUGAAAUGGGAAAGUCCAGCUGAGACUUUUGUUGAAUGCUAAAUAGGCUAUGGUGCUGCAGUGAUGGCAAACCCUAUAGGGUUUCAAGAGGCAUCAACUGAGCCUUGACUUCCAGAAACAAAAUCCCACUUGGUGUUACUGCAUCCCAACAUAGUGCCAUUGUUAGUUUAACCAGUUUGUUGAUCCAUAUAACCAGUUCAUGAUGCUUUAGUUGCAUGCAUGAGUACUAAUUAGGUUGUCUUGUAUAUAGAUGAGGCAGCUGACUACAUAUCAUGCUUUCUUCCUGACCCUUUGCACCCUUUUCUGCUGUUUCUUUCUCUCAAGGAGGCCUUGUGGUAACAGAUCUUUUCACAUAUUAAAACUGUUGUUUCUAUAACUCAAAAUACUGUGUGUUUUCAAAAGCUUAGUGUGGAAGAUAUAUUUCUAAGUCAUGUUUCUUUUAGUGAACACUAAGUGUUGGCCGUAGACAGCAGUAGACUCAGGAUUUGGUAGUUAACCAGUAAAAAUACUAAAACAGGCAAAGUCUGUCAUCACAUAAGAGACAGCUUUCAACUUUGCUAAAUGUCUUUCUACUUACAAAGUUAAUGCAAACCAGUCACAAUGAUAAAAAUCUGUGACUGUCUUAAAUAGAAAGAAUUCUUGGUUCUUUGUGGUAGAAAAAAAGACUGGAAUUUAAAUUCUUGGGUUUUCCCUCCUCAUUUUUAAUUCCUUUCAUUUGAUUAAAAGAGUUUUAAAAAUGAACAGUCCAAUGAAAGGAGGAAAGAGAAAUGUACACUCGGUUAGAUAAAAAACCAAUCAUUUGAAAGAGGCCCAAACCUUGCAAUUAUGAGAAAUCCAACAGCCUUAAAACAUGAGGACCAGAGCAGAUAGAGAAGGUAAACAGAACCUUGGGCAAAACAGGGUGAAUGCAGGAUUGUUACUGGAGGAUGCCCGAUAAAAACACAACAGGAGAAACCACCAUGCAAACCACUUGCAGCUCAAGAGUAAGAGCAGCAAACAGAGAUUGGAGCUGCAGAUAAGAACAUGCAGAAACUUUCUGAGAGAAAUCGAGGAGAAAAAAUAAGGGCAAUAUUUACAUGAAGAGAAAUCUCAGAGAUCCAGAUGUGCUAAAAGGCCAACAGAAAGGAGAUGAAAGAGAAACCUGGAAGCAACAGAGUUCUGGACAAAUGGCAAAGGACAGAAAACUGCAGCUUUUCCUCCUUAUCUCCAACAUUUCUGCCUGAAGAACGGAGCUCUGGUUGUAUGGCAGCGCAGUGCUCCCAUUGCAGCCUUAUUGAAGGUGUUCUCUACUCUAUAAAAAAAAUCUACAUCAGAAUGACACGAACCAUUCUCUGGAGGUUAUGGUUUUUCCAUGUGUGAAAGUAUAUGCCUAACCACUUAGCUACUGGUUACUUGAUUAUUAAACUGUACUGUCAAAGGUUGGAGAGAUUAAUUCUAGCACGUCUUGCUGCAGGUUUCAGUUAAACUCAAGGUCUUUCUAGUUCUAUUAUAAAGAGUCACUACCACAAGAAACAAAGACAGAAGAACUGCAAGCCACUGCAGUUGUAAUUGCUCCUGUUAGAAGAGCCUAAGGAAGCCAAAACAUCAUCCAAAAACUAUGGAUACAAACCUGACAAAAUAGCAUUCACUCAACAUGCAACUCAUUCUUCCUCUUCCCUACUGAAAAAACUUUGUUUGCAACUUUGAGCAGAAACAUUAAAAAAUAUAUAUUUACCUGUGAGAAAGUUUGAAAUCUCACAUAUGAAAGUGUAUCAUCAAAUGGCCAGGUGUAGAAGAGGUGCACAGACACCUGUACUGCAACAGAGCUCUUAAAUGGUUCCUCUUAAACAUUUAAGCUAAGUAAUCCCAGUUGAUAUGGAGCAGCACUGAUAGUUUUUCUAGUUUUUAAUAGUAAUGCACAGUACAUCAAUGCUAAAAACAUAAUAUUUUUGCACCUGGGCUCUUUUACGAUAGUGUUACUCCUGUGCAAAAUUAAAUGUCAGCAACAGAAGAGUGAUUCUAAAAUGAAAUUGUAAAGAACUGUAUUACUACGCUAAGGAGGUAGUGUGGUGAUUUAAUACGGUGAGUAGCCACACCUGAGUAAUUAAAGAGCUUGUUUUUACAGGGAAGCACUAAGUUUAUUAAGCAAAGGAAAAGUAUUUUGUUACAAAUAGAUUAUCUUAGUGCUUUCACUCAACUUGGUGCAAACCUUCAUAUGGAAACUGGGAUUUGACAGAAGUGUAGCUGGGGAGAAAAAAAAAAAAGGAGAAAAAAUGGAAAAACAAGUAAAAAGUUAUCAAAGCAAGAUCCCUUAAUACAAAAUACUGUAGAUGACAUCCAGAGCAGGCAAAGGCCUUUCUCUGCAGCUGCAGUAGGCGCCCAGCUCCUGGCUCUCCUGUUCCAUAUGGGCUGCUGCAGGCAAGGAGCUGGGAGCAGAAUUAGGAAGGCUCCCACUUCUCCACACUGCAGGUAGUCAGGGUGCUAGCAAGGCUGUUUGACACCCAUCAUCACGUAUAGGCCUGGAGAGCUCUUUUUUAAUUCUACUCAACAAAUGUACAGCAAGUACUUAAGGAAUGCAAAAGAACGUCAUACUUUGUCAUCACGUCAAUGGGAACAGUUGGAAGGGGCCUAAUUCCUGGGCUAUCUACAGAUUCAUAAACGAUAUAUCAUGAUAUCUUAAGUGGAGUUCUGGGCUCUGCAGUGGAGGAGCCGUUGUCUUUCUGACCAGAGCAAUAGGUUUGAGCAGCACAAAAUCUUGAUGAAAGUACUUGGGAAUCUCAGCCCUGUAGCAGCAGAAAAGGUGAGUAUCUAUAGAUAGGUGAAGAAAAAGAGCACUCAUGGCCCAUGCUACCUCCCCACCCUCAGCUUCCCAUACCCAGAUCACUCAAAUUAGCUUUCACAAAGACAACAUUCUCAUAGAAUAUUUUCCCAUUCCAUCCUCAAAAAAUGAGUUUCUUGUAAUCUUAGUAGCUUCCUUGUUUUCCUUCAGUGCAGCAUCCCUUCAAUACUGCCUUGCAGAUUUCUUGCAUCACUCUAUUCAUUAGCUAUAAGGGUGAAAAAGAGAAUUAAAGCAAAAAUAGGGAUCUGUUCCCAAAGCCAGUGAAAACAAUGGGAGUCAAAGGAACUGGCACUGACCAAACAUUUUAUUUUCCCCAGGAGAGCAGAAUGAUCCUAGCCAAAGUUUCAGAUCAUGAAGGUCCUGGUAAUUCAUUCAACACAACAAAACAGAAAUUGACAUUUCAUUUAGGUUCUUACUCCUUGUUAAUCGUGGCACUCACCUCAAGUUAUGUUUGAGCAGAGAGCAACAGUCAUCAUUACUGCAUUAACUGAGCACAGCGAGGUCUUCCAUCUUCCUAUGGGAUUUCAGGCUGACUACUGUACAUACAGUUUCUGACUGCUGAAAGCUGAGAAUAACCUCUUAAAAAAUACAAUCUUUUUUUUUUUCCUCCCUAACUUUGGAAAUUACAAACAGAAGAGCCUGCGAUGUAAAGACACACAGAAGGAAAUGAUCUGAGAGAGGAGCCUUUAAUAAGCUAAAUAGGUUCAGCCUAAUGUACAUUCACGUCUUCAUUAAUUUAGUGGAUGAUUUUCAAAAGAAUGAGCCUCUCUUUCACUGGUGCAGGCAAAGUGCAGCUAAACUCACCCCCUGCUGAUGUGCUGUGGGUAAAAUCAUCCAGAAAUCACUUAAUCUGAAAGGAAAAAUCCUCUUAGGUAUUUCCCAAAGACUCCUUGAAUAGGCUCAGCAUAGGCAAUCGUACAUGGGAGAAAGCAGUUUAGGGGGAGAUUUUCCUACAGCACAACUCCUGCAUUUCCUCAUUUCCCUUUGCCUGCAAGCGAUGAAUCUGUCCCCUCCAGCUCUGACAAGUCUUUCUGGGGCUGCUGGAUGACAUUUUAAAGCUGUUGUUUUGUCUGGGCACCUCACAUGGAGCAUCACAUCGGUCUGUGCCCCAAGUAGCAUGCAGCUGGAAUUCAGACUCCAUAAAUCAAAUCAGAAGAAAUCUCAGGAGAGGGAGCUGUCACACGGGGUCAUGUCAAUGAAAAAAGACCAGCUUUUAAAAAGUGGGCAUGUCUCAGCCCAUUGGUGCCAAAAAGCUGCUCACUGGGGUCUGACUGAAUGUCAAUAACAUCUCUGUUUCCAUCCCAUCUGCUUCACAGCACUCAUUCAUCAACAGAGAGCCUCCACGUGCCAACUGACAGCAUCCACAGCGAGUAGAGAAAAACAGCAUGACUGAACACUGCAGCCCAAUGGCUCACCCAGCACCCUGCCUGCUGCAAAGGAUGUGCUGAGGCAAGAGGCAACUCAGAGACACCAAAAAACUUAGGUAAAAAAAUACACACACACACACACACACUACUAUGACAAUAACCCACCUCACCUCAGCUGAGGACAGUUUAAUGCAAAAGAACAGUUGCUCAAAUACUUUUUGAGGGGAUAUCAUUCGAGUUCUGGGAAAUAGCUGCCUUUCCAUCUUACUAGGCCUAGGAUAGCUGUUGGUUCAAUUCAGAGGCUGAGAUCAGAGAGCUUUCAUUCAUGAGUGCUGUGCCAUGGAGAGAAUCCUCCAGAUAGUACACUUCAAUAUCCUUGUUCUGCUUCGAGCAUACAAAAGAAUUCACAAGAAUUACCUUAGUAUGAACUUCUAUCUCACUGGUGAUCUAACUGCUGUGACCUUGUUGCUGAACACUACUCUUACUGCAUGCAACCUACUUCUUUCCUGGGAGCCUGCUGUCAGCCAUGGUUUUCAACUUCCCAAUUAGCAAAUUUAGACUUAUUUUUUUUUUUCCCCUCUGAUGCCAUCUAAAAUAACCCCUGAUUAAAAGGAAUCACAUUCUGGUAUUGAUUAUCCACGCAGCUUGCAACUAGCAUUACAAUUUUGUUUUGUUGUUUUCACUGUAUGCCUGACCUCUACAUUUGGAGGCUCACAACACUUCAUACUUGACCUCCAUUAUGUUUCUGGUUUCUUAUUCUGUUAAUGUGACCAACAGUGGUUUGUAACACAUACACACAAGAGUCCCCCAUACACAGUCCUUGCUAGGUGACAGAAGGACAAAGCUCUUUGGCCUGAUGUGAUACAGUAACAUGCAUGAGUUGACUUCAUUUUUUGGCCUGGGUUGGUCAAGUGUUACACCAUGUUGAGAAAGACUUUGUACCAUUAGUGGCUUAUUUGCUGCUGGAAAAUCCACAUCUGCUGACAGGAAUAUGAGUGCCAUGGAUUGGUCUGUAAGUUGGUAUUAAGCUUCAGUGGUAAAGGGCAGGAUAUUCUUCCUCCUCUCCCAGUCUGUGAGCGAUGUUGCUGAUCCACAUCCAUUAAUGUUUCUGCUACCAUCCUCCAGCAGUGUGGGAAAACAAAAAACAGACUCUUCAUGUCAACAAGAAAUCUGGAAAAAACACAAAAACAGGGUUUCAUAAUCAAAUAAAUGUUUCUGUCCUUAUACAGCAUAAAGCUGCAGCAAAGAAAAUGAAAUAUAUUCAUGAUUCCCCUGCAGUAAACAUACUUGCAGUCUGAAAAACAGUAUCAAGUACACAGGGAUCAUCUACAUGUCACUGUAACUGCACACUGCAAUUGAGAAGCAAACAGCUUUUAGAAGACACUGAGAAAAACUCUAAUUUUAGGCACAGAGAGCAUGUGUUCACACUGCUGCAUGAUGGAUGCAUAAUAGUGUGCUCCAGACAACCAACCUUAAAAUAUCUGAGACCUUAUUGUGUUAUUGGUGUUUAUAGUUUGUACUGCAGUCAAGCCUAAAAGCCCUAGGGCCUCAAUUGUGCUGUGGAUGGCAUAAACAGAGCAGAAAGACAGUCCUUGUCCCAUCGAUACUGCAAACUAAAUGAAACCUUGUCCAUCACCUUCUCUCCAGCCUUACAGCUCUUUCUACCUUAGAUCUUCAGCACAUAACCUCUCCCAGGUAGGAAUAAUGUGCUUCUAGCAUGUCUGGAUGGCACUGGUUUUUGAGUGGUUGUUGAAUAAACAAAAUGCACUGAGAAGAGCUGUUUGUCUUCUUUUUGAGAAUGGGAUCCAGUGUUUUUUGGGGGAUAUUUACACUACGAUUGUUUUUUGGAACCCACAGAAAUAUAAAUCGUAAUAACUCACAAAUUUUCCGUGCUGUUGUGUAAUUCCAUUGUAAUUCUCUGGAAUUCUAUUGAAAUUCUUCUCACAGAUGCCUCUGUCCUUUGCUGGAUCUGGCCAAGAAUUGAAUGUGGGAUGAUGAGGAGCCUUAAUAUGACAGAUGAACAUGUCCAUCAACACUAUUGUGAUUCUAAGUAGUCAGAUUCUUUUUCAGUUCCUUUCUCAGAGGCUGUGGCACUGAAUGAACCAACACUGAAGUCAAGCACAGCAGAAAAUUUACUUGCUUCUGCUUCUAUCUGACCAGCAAAAUAACAUUUUCUCAUUAAUUUCCUGCUGUUAUUUUUAAGAAAUUAAAGGUUAGGUAAGAAUCUUAGUGCUAUGGAUUAGUUAGGCUUCUAAAUUUUUCUUUUCUCAGACAGAACCAGCUGAAAACUAGUUGAUAUUAGGUGUUUUUUAGAACACAUUUUGGACUAAAACUGUCUCUACCUUUUUUCACAACUCUCAGAGCACUCUGGGGCUCUCUUAGCAAGUGAUGUGACAUGCCCACCUUUCCCAGCCUUCCAGGAGCCUGCCCACUUCUGCUUUUCCUCUUGGUCUCCUUCCAGCUGCUCACUGAGCCUCUUGCCAGACUCACCUGCAAGAAAGCUUCUUCCAGGUGGAAUCUCACAUUAUUACCAUUUCCUGCAGGCCUCAGAUCCACCUUGAAUGUGAGCAUCCCAACAUGAGAAUCGUGGCUGAUUCUGGUCCCAUGCACUCUUCAAAGAUGCAGCCAUCCCAGACAUGACAGGAGGAGCCUGGGCUUGCAGAUGGGACAAACAGUGCAGGAGCCUGCUGAUGCACAACUUCUGUUUCUUCAUUACCCCAGAGUCAUGCUGAAGGAGACUGUUGAGGUCUAUGAGCCUUCCUGGACCAACUCAAUGCCAUCAUCUCUCAUCCCAAGGGAUGUUACAGCAAAAAGCCACUGGUGCCUGCAUGGUGCAGAUGUUCUGAGUUUGGUAAUUACUCACCAAGAAGAUUAAAGAUCAGGUGGUCACCUCAGUUGCAUCUACUUUAUCACAGCCCUGAGGGCUCUCCCCAAGUCUCAGGAGCAGAGAGAUGCAGUUGGUGUCCUGCAGAUCCAGCUGUCAGUUCCCAGCUUGCAGCAUUGGUGUUCUGAGGCAGGCAGAGACUACAGGAAGGCUAAUUCUCCAUUAAAGAUAUGGUCCUGGGAUGUCUUACUAAGAACCUAAAAAAAAAAUAUCCUGCCUUGAGUGUCCUCUUUCUAAAUCUAACCCAAAGCUUACACUGGUCACCAACUGUGAACUGGAUGCACAUCUGUUCCUCUGGAUUAGCUACAGCCUCCCCCCACCCUAUGUCAGACCUCACAGACCAGCCAGCCCCAUGCCUCCAGCCCAGUCUAUGGGUCCAAACUCAGCUACUAGUGCUGCUCUUAUUUGUGCUGGGCUUAUGCCCCUGCCCACUUAUUUAUUGAAGCAGCCAACGAGUUGCUCAAACCCACAAGAGAUGGCUCUAUUUCUCUACCCAGCCCCAUCAUGAUCAAUUGUUCCCACCACUUUGCCGUUUCUGCAGAACGUGUGCCAGUUUUAUUUCCAAGAAUGCAACAACACGAACGUUUUUCAAUUACUCAGAUAGAUUUUUAGCUUGUCAUCGUCUGCCAUUCACUUGAAUUGUGCACCCUCGCCCUACCUCAGCUCACUGGUGUGCUGACACGGGCUGUGCGAGGUUGCUCCCCAUUGCAGCACUAAGGAGCAGGAUGCUGUUGCCCUGCCACGUGUGGCGACGCCGUGCUCCUCUGCAUCUGGUUUCUAAACAAACCCCCUACAACAGACCAAUCUGUUAAACCUUUGAGAGCCUCAUUUCCAGGUUUCAACAACAUUCUCUUCAGAAAUGAGCACUUCAUGGAGUUCAUUUAAGGUUGUCGAAGCCACAAGUUGCUGUCAGCGCUAUUUACCACUUCAGUGGCUCAGCUAAGGCCUCAGCUGCUGCAAGCCAGCUCAGUGCUAAUAGCUGAGCCUUCCUGAUUUACAUCAACCUCUGCCAAGCUGACAGCCAUCCUCCACUGCCUCCCAGUAGCUGUCUGUGUACACAUUUGUUACAGACAGCACAAAAGCAGAUUUCCUCCUGCCACCCCUGUCCAGGCCCUGUGUUUAUACUGGAGCAACCAAGCACGGUGGAUGCCCCAUGCUAUGCAGUCAGCUGGGCCCUGCAGCCUGCUCUGUGCAUGCGGUACCUGGGGCUGCCUUUCAGGAUCAAGUCUGGGAUAUUUCCUCCUCAGUCUUGCUUCCUUUAUGGGCUCUUAUCCCUUACCUCACUGCAAGCCCUCACCUCCUUUGUUUGGUAACUGGACAGAGGGAACAGAACUCCCUUGUCCCAAACAUCACUUUGUAAUUCUCUGCACUUUUCCCAGGCAGAGCAACUCAGCUCAUCUACAGUCAAAAGGCUUUUUACCUAUUUUUAAUGCCAUUCCUACCCCUGCUCCUUUCUGACUCCCCAAAACAUGGCUCUCACAGACCCAAGCCUAAAUGCCCCAAACCUUCUCAAACCCCUUCCAGUUAUACAUAAAAACUACUGACAUCUUUGAUUUCACACCCUCUAUCUCAUUCCACACUUCUGCAACACUCAGUGUAAGCUCCAGAGCCUAUAGAAAACAAACCACCAGCUCCCCCAGCCAAAGGCCCCAAUGGCAUCUGGUCCAUCUGUUCCAUGGCAAACUGGCAGCACAACAAUAACUUCCAGUAAGCUGAGGAGCGGAUGGUUUUAGUGAGUAAAACCACUGCGCCUUCUGUCUUUUAUUUCAAUAGUAAAUUUAAUUUUAUUAUCUUUCCCCCAGUUUGCCACAGGAUUGUGCUGAGGGCCCUCACAACUGAGUUGCAACAUGGGAGGUUUAUCAGCCUUGGAAGUGGGAGGGUCUAAAACACAGUUUGCACCUCCUGCAGAAGCCUGGCUCUUAACAAUGAGCUGGGACUGCAUGCAGUGAGCCCCAGACAUCCUAUUCUGGGAGCUGCUCACAACAUGCUGGCAGUGGCAUGGUACAGAGGGCACUGGGAGAUUGGGGACAUCAGAACGGUGGCUCUGGUGAGGUUUCAGGAGCUACUCUCCAUGCCCUUGCUGGGGAGCAAUUACCAUCCCUACCAUAUUUUCAAGAUAUUUUCACCUUUAAAAUUUUACUUUAAAAACCAAAAUCUGAGACUUCUUAUUGCAUGCUUCCAGCGGCUGGAGAAUUAAGACAAGCCUUACAAUGUAGCAUGAAGAAAUGGUGAGAGCUGACAACAUAAUAUCACAGUUUGACAAGAAUCAUAGAAUCAUUGAGGUUGGAAAAGACCUCCAAAGUCAUCCAGUCCAACCAUCCAUCUACCACCAAUAUUGCCCACUAAAACCACAUGACACGAAUACUGUAGAAGCAUAGAAUUGUUUGAGUUGGAAGGGACACUUAAAGGUCAUCUUGUCCAUAUCCUGCAUAAGAGGGAGUGAUUCCUCCCAGAAUGUUUGCAAUUCAAGAAAUUUAAUGCUCAGAUCUCAUGUUUUUGUGUCCUCAUGAGAGGAUUUUUAAAGAACAUAUCAGGAUAUUGUGCUCCUGCACUGUUUGUUAAUAGUUUCCUGCCUCCCUUCAGGAAAAAUGAAAUAUUUCUUCUCUGAGCUCUUCGUGCAAUCUUCUGUCAAGUCAAAGCAGAAAGGAAAAACUAUUUACACUAUUUUAUUAGGCCAAAUGUCAAUUUGUUUUUCUGAAAUCUUUACCAAUCUUCCUGGCAUUUAAUAUGCAAACAGAAAUAUAUAUAUAUACACACACAUAUACUAUAUGUAAUAUAAUAGUAUAUUAUAUAAUACUAUACGAUAUUAUAUAUAUGUAUAUAUAAGUAUAUACAUACAUAUAUAUAUAUAUCUUUCAUUUCUUGUGACAGUGCCUGAAAUAUCCAACAGGCUGAUGCACAGAGCAGUAUUUCUUUCAUGUGUAAGAAAGGGAGAGACCAAAUGUGCUAGAGAAGGUGGAUAGCAGCUGGGUAGGAAGGAAAGGCAUGGAAUCACUUUGUUUUUGUGAGUCUUUUUAAUCUGGUUUCAUUAAUCUCUACUGAGCCUGACUAUAGACAGCAUACCUUCCAUUUUACCAGAAUCUUGGUCCUGCCCACAAAAAACAGCCUUUUUCCACAUGGAGAAAAUACUCCAAUUUCUACUCCACUCAGAAAAUCCACCUUGUUUCCAGUUUGGUUCAGCAUUAUUACACCAGGCACAAGGAGCUGCAUCCCAGUGCCUGCCCCUGCCUACCCAGCCCAUGGGGCAAGCUUGGAGCAGCUGGUCCUACUGCUCCGUGCCUGCCCAGGUCAGCCUCUGGUCCACAGGAAAACAUUUCUUAUCUGCCCACUGAGUUUUUCUCUUAAAGAGAGAGGUUUUUUCUCCCAUUUCUGCCUCCCAGGGGCUGUGAAAAGACUCAUAAGCAACACUCCCAGGCAUUUGGUAGAAAGAGAUAUAUUUCAUUCACACAUGAUUUUGACCAGAACAGCUUGUGUAGGGAGAGGCAAUGGCAAAUAACCAGUCCUAAGUCAACCCAAAAAAAGGUGGUGGUCAAAAUCCAGUUAAAGAAAGAAAGAAAGAGUUACUUAUCCACCUCAAGGAUCAGGUCCUGUUCAAUAUUCCAAAGGAAGGGAUCUCCAGGUAGAAAACCUUCCCUUGUGGCAGCCAGCCCUUAAAUGAGGCUUAGAAAAGGGUGGAACCUGUUUUCACCUGUGCUUACAGGACCGGCUGUGUCCCUUCGCCGAGUGCUCAAUCAUUGGUUCAGGCUGUGACUUAGCAAUUCCCAUAUAGCUUUACAGGUAGUCACCCUUAUAUCCACAAUUGCCUAUCAGCAGAUUUGUGCCAUGCUGAGAUUACAUUCAAAGCUCAGAGUAUGAACCACGUAUGAAGUUGCAUUCUAUGAGCUGGAACUCUUGUAUUCCUAGUCCCACUAUUUAUAAGCACUGAAAGAAGCCUGUAUUUUACUUAAAAUAUGAUUCAUCCAAUGGCUCAGUGUGUCAGCAGCCUCUUGUAUUCAGUUUUGGGGCCUCAGCCCUUGUCAGGGAUGUGUCUGUAAAAUAUAAAUCACCAUAUUAGUAGACUUUGGGCAUCACAUAGGUUUUAUUUACAUUUGUGAUGUUCUCAGAAGAGAGGACUCUACCAAAUUCUCCCUUCAGUUUGGAUAUUAGGAAAAACUUCUUCAAAAGAGUCACUGGGCACUGGAAAGGACUGCCCAGGGAGGUGGUGAAGUCACUGUCCCUGGAGGUGAUGUGUAGAUGUGGUACUAAGGGACAUGGUUUAGUGGGCAAUACUGGUGGUAGGUGGAUGAUUGGACUAGGUGGUCUUAGAGAUCUUUUCUAACCUAAAUGAUUCUAUGAUUCUAUAAAUGACCUAUUGGUUGUGGGCUACUGGUAUCAACUGGUCUGAAAGUAAGUUCCUGUUAUCUACAAAUGUAACUACUUUUCCUUUUUCUUAGUCUUUUUGCAUUUGUUAACUUAUCAGAGAGGAAGCAGGAGGUACCUGGCAUUAAGAGACUCACCCAAGGUUGCAGAGUGAGUCAGUCGUGGAGCCCAAAUGAUGUCCUGGAAGUUCCUUUUAUGUAUUUAUUAUUUUCAUCGUAUUCUAUAAUAAAAGUGACUAGGAAGAAGUUUAUGAAUAUUAGCAUUCAUCUGAUGAAUACAAGGCCAAUCGUUCCAUGAAGUGAUGCAGUUGGCUUGAUAACGCUGAAGGAUUCCUAAACCUAUAAAACCCAUGUAUGACCUUCCUCCUGCCUACUGUCUAUUUGAAUGACAGCUGGUGAGAGAUUCCUAGAGACUUUUUCUCUACCAAAAGCUCAGGUGGUGCUCUGCAGCUCCAUCAUGUUAGAUCUUUCCAAACUACUUGGAAAGCACAGGGCAGCAGUGGGAUAUUGCUGCCCAGCCAAAGCCCCUUGGGGCUUCCAUUCCUACAUGUUCUCAGCCUUCUUCCAACUACAGCACUGACUGCUGCUCUGAGUCCAGCAGAAUGGCCUGAUUUUAGAUAUUCUCCUAAGAGUGACCCACAGGACCAACCCUCAUUUGAGAAGGAAGGUUUUCUUGAGUGCUAGAAGCAAUCUACAUCACUGACACCACAAGUAAUUCCUUUGUAGUAUCACAAAAAUGUGUCCAAUAGGCAAGAUGCUCCUUUCCUGGUGCUCUGCUCUCCUGUAAUGGUUUCACGUAACAGUGCAACUUUCAGCAACGAUCAUUUUGCCCAACUCAGAUCUUUUCCAUCUGCUGUGGUCUGUGCAGGGUGCUUUAAUACCUCGACCCUCUUGGCUAUUAGCCCACUGAGGCUGUCUGUUAGGAUAAAAGAAAAAGGUGAGAUUAUAUUCUCCCCUCCUGGCAUCCCAACACACUUCUAUUUUUCUGUAAUAAUCCUGCUUACGGAAGAUGGAUUUCUAAGGAGAUGUUGUAUGUUAGACAUGGCCAAAAAAAAUUAGCUAUAGGCAAAAAACUGCCCUGAAGAAGAAAAGUAUUGCUUUUAUUGAACUUAAAACCAAACACCCUACUUUGAUCUACUUGUUUUUGAAAAGAAAAGAAAUUCAGUUUGGGGGAAAAAAAAAAAACCACCAAAAAACAGCAGUUUCAGCUCAAAUAUUCUUGUUUUCGGCUAAAAAAUUUCUAGAUUCAACCAGAAUAGAGGUAUAUAUUUUUAACAGAUCGUCAAUGAAAUCUCCUGUAUAUGGAUAAGUAAUAAAAGGAUGGCACACGGCCCAAACAGUGUGCAAUCUAAGUGAUAUUUAGGCAUACUUCAAGCCUCAGCUACCACAGAAAUCGAUUUAUGCUCCCUUUUAUCUUUUUUAUUGUAGUUUAUUUCUUAUGUCUUCGGCCCACAGCUAAAGGAUUAUUGCAGAUGGCUCAGGGCAGGGGAAGGAAAGGUGAGGCUCACUGGGCUCUGGCUGUCUCCAUCUAAGAUGAGUUCUUAUGGGAUGCCCCAGUUCCAGAUCAAACUCCAACGGCAGAGGAUGGGACCUCCCGAUCCCAAGGCUGGCACACUGGGAUGUGGUUUUCCUUCUGCCUUCUGCACAGGCGCUGGGCUUGGAUGCACGUUCAGGACAUAAACUUCCCCAGGACCUGGAAACAUGAGUGUGCUGUGUCUGGGUCGGGCCUCUCUCUGUUAAAAACCCACUGUCAUUGCCUUCUGGUAAAUGGUGAUCAACGCAUGUUUUACAAACCACAGGGAACCGCGCAGUUAUCCAGCGCCUUUCACCAGCGGCUCUCAAAGUACCGCACAAACAAAUAACCAAGUUUUACAAUAACUUUAUAUUGCAGCUUUUCUAGACAGUGGGAAGCUGACAUCAAAGGGGCUUCCCACCACUGUACAGCAAAACUGCGCAAACUUAGGGGCACAACACAGGAAUCCCGAUUCCAGCUCUGAUUUCAUCUCGCAGGCAAGAUUUGUUAUUUCUCCACUUCCUUCUGGCAAUUGGCCCAAGGUUCCUAUCGCUGCUGGCCAGAGAUAGGAACAAUCAUUCACACCGGCGUACUUUUUAUUCUCUUUAAAAGGAGCACAUAAAAUGAAUCAACUUGAGAGAGCGGAAGAGAUGCAUAGGGAACAAGGGGAGCUCUUUACAAAGUGGCUGGUCGAACACACACCAAAAUCAGCAGAUGUAGCAGGGCAGGGGGAGCAAAGGAAAGCCCUUUCGCUGCUUUUUGGGUGCUGCCCUGAAUUUCUGCCCUGCCGUGGUUGGUUGAGGUCCCAGGCUAAAUAAUUAUCAACAACUCCUAUUAAUGAAUAGCACCAGAAGCCCUAGUGAAAAAUCUCAGGUCCCUUACUCACAAUUCUAGUCACUUCCCCAACCUACUUCUAAAAUUAGAAACAAACAGGCCCCUUCUAAAAGCAAUAAACAGCACUUUAAUUGGACUGAAGCCUAUAAAUCUGUCAGCAGCUAGUUACUCCAACUCCAUUGUGAGACCAGCGCCUUUGAAGCCCCUCCCUUGCCUUCCACUGCUGUGCACUGGGAUGCAGUGUGAUGGGGCUGUGAGGUGUAGGGCUGGGGGAUUGCUCCGGCUCAGAUGGACAUCAUGAUAGAGCAGGAGGAGAAGCUCAGGCUGCAGAUGGCUGCUGCAUGUGGUCUGUGAGCACAGCAGCAGAAUCAUAGAGUCAUAGAAUAUCCCAAGUUGGAAGAGACCCAUAAGGAUCAUCGAGUCUAACUGCUGACAUGAGGUGAUGUACUGCACUUAGAAGAUACAUCUCACAUCAGGGCCGUGGGAAAUGCAUAUUAAAAUGCAUUUUGCUUAGCUAAAACUACAUUUUCUUAUUUUUUAUUAUUUUUUUUGUCACCAAAGAUUGCUUUAAAGAAAAUCCCACCUGGUUUGAAAUGAUGCCACAUGUUAGUGUCAUAAUGCAGCAGAACCCAGCAAAUGGGUACUAAUCAGUCCAGUUUCCCUUAGAAAGAGGCUGUGUAAAGGGAAAAUAAAUUCAACAGCUGCUAUUUCAGACGUUUCAGCUGUUUCGAAGGGGAAAAGGGAUGGCAGCCUUGUAGCAAAGGGCACUAUCUGCAACUUCAGGAUUUUCUCCAGUUUGGUGCAAACUGACCUGAUUCCUAACAGGGAAUGUGUGAUGUGCAGAGACAUGUCCCAGUUGAGCCACUGAAGUACCUCUGUGUUCAGAUGGUCUGCUGGGCCACACAUGGCCUUCAUGUGUCAUCCAGCAGAAGCGAAACCGCACCAGAGACAAAAGCAGACAGUGGAGAGUGGGGAUAGGACACACAGGUGAGCAUGUUCCUUCCUGCCCCUCCAGUGAGAUUGGGUUCAGGGCAAGAAAUAAAACUGCUCUCUUUAAAAAAGUGCUCAGGAAGAGGGGAAAAAAAGAGAUAUUUUUAGUACUACCUCAAGAACAAAUAAUGAAAACUUGCACAGAGGUGUUAUUGAGUAAAAGAUACAGGAAGAUCACAUUGCAAGAAUAAGAUGAGGUGGCACACAGGCAUCUUAUAGGCAGAGUUCCUGAAACUGUGAGAAUGAUCAUAGAAUCAUAGAAUUGCUUGAGCUGGAAGUAGGAUUUAAAGGCCGCCUGGUCCAACUCUCUUGCUAUGGAUACCUACAGCUCAAUCAGGUGCUCAGUGCCCUGUCCAGAUGGACUCUGAAUGUCUCCAGGGAUGGGGCAUCCACCACCUGUCUGGAAAACCUGUGCCGGUGCUUCACUGCUCUUAUUGUAAAAAAUAUAUAUAUAUAUAUCCAACCUAAACCUCCUCUUUUUUAGUUUGAAACCAUUUCCCUUUUCCUAUCACAACAGACCCCGCUAAAGAGUCUGUCCCCCUCUUUCUUGUAGCCCACCUUUAGAUACUGACAGGUUGCCCUUAGGUCUCUUCAGAGCCUUCUCUUCUCCAGACUGAACAGCCCCAGCUCUCUCAGCUUGUCCUUGUAGGGAGGUGUUCCAUCCCUUGGGUCAUUUCUGUGGCACUCUUCUGGACCUGUGUGUCCUUCUUGUCCUGUUUCCUCUCCGUUUGGCUCCAUGAGGACCUGAGAGGUUUCUUGCCCUCAGUAGCAGAGGACAUUGCUCCAUGCAGUGUGAGCAUUCACAUAAACAGAAGAACGUGAGAGCAAAUAAGAACUGACACAGCACGAACUGCCCAGUGCCACCUAGCCUUCCCCAAAUAAAUGCCAAGAAACAACAUUACAUACACAUUAGAAAUAUAUAUAUCUAUAUAUGCACAUGUACUCACUAAGUGCAUGUAAUGCUCUCUCUCAUAAGAAAAUGCUGGCAGCCUUUCAGCAAGCCGUCCUCAGCUGCUAAUAAGAAGCACAUCCUGCUUUCUGGAGGUGUGUGGCACUGUGAAUACAUUCAAGCCAUUCCUGUGGAGGGAUUGCUCUUAAAAUCCUUCAGAUGCCUUUGUACCUGGAUAAAACAUUAACACAAACUUCACACACUGAGUGUGGGGCAGAGUGGCAAAUCCCACCUCAGUAACAGCUGUGGUGGUGUCACCUCUAGAAAUCAGGAACUUAAAAGCCAAAGUUUGGCUUGAGUAAUCUUGAGUUUUAAAAAUAGAUCGUGCAUUCAAGGUGCUGUGAAAGCAAGUGUUUUAAUCUGAAAUACCUUGGUCUAGGGCUGUCACACUGUGAGAUGGGACCGCAUUCCUGUGCAGCCUCCCAGAGCUGCUCCCAGAGCUGCAGCCGUGCUUCAGAAAGAAAAAUAGUACUACAUUUUAGCAGUGUACCUGUGAGAACAGCUGACCCUCUGGACCAUUAAGAUAACCCCGCAUUUCUAAACAAAAGGGGUUUUUAGUUUUUCUGUUCCUAUGAAAACACACUGGAACAUUUCACCACAGUCUUCUUUCACUUUAAUUAGCCAGGAAAGACAAGGAAUGCCAAAGGGCAAUUAUAGAAAAUAUAUACUGUACUGAUUAGGAAUCUCCUUUCUGUAGCAUGAAGACAUCAGCUUGAAGUUCACAUUAAACCCCUCUCCCCCUCUAACGAGAUAUGCCUUAUCCAACCCAGAAAGAUACAAUUAACUUGGGAAAGAAUGCAGCCUUUCUCAGGGGGAAAAAUGAUUGGGGAGGGGAGGAAGAACUCAUGUUAGAAGGUGAAGGGCUGAUCUUGAAGGCUCUGGUCACAUCAUGGCCUAUGGGGAUCAGCGCGUGUGGAAUCCAACCUGAGGGCUGCUCUCUCCCUGGCAAUGGCGACGUUGUCGUUUUGCUUUUUUUCUCGUAACAUUUGCUAUUGUUUUAGGGGCACUGUGCCUCCCAGGACCCUCCUCAGCCUGGAGCAAGGUCAGGGGGACAGGCCCGCUCCCCAAAUGGGAUACAGCAGGGCAGAUGUGGGCUGCAGGAGGCACAGGCCAGAGGCAACGCGGAGCAGCCAUUGCCAUUGUUCUGCAGGGCCUUGUUCACAAUCUCUGCACGGUUGGGCUGUGGGAGCAGCUGGGAGCAAUUACGGCACAUGAAAAGAAGGGCACGGGAUUAGGCAAGUGAUGAAAAAGCGAGGGGACCGCUAGAUUUAUCACUGGCAGAGCAAGGCAGCCCCUCUCCAGAGCCGGCCCUAUCCCAUGUCCCUAUCUUUGUUCCUGUCCCCUGGGCAGGAGUGACAGUGCCAGGAGCUGCAGGAGAGGAUCCAGUUGUGAGGAUUGGCCCUGAGGUGGUGAGGAUCAGUCUCCCUUUGGGUCCCACCAAGAGGACAGGGUGAAGUCCAUGGGCAGAUUUCAAUCUCAUCCUCUCUUUAUAUGGGCAAAAAAUAAAGUAAAAAAUAAGCAGAUGAGGCACAAGUUUUGCAUUCCUUGUGAAAUUUCUUCAGCUCUUCCAUAUAAUCAGCAUUGUAAAAUAGCAAAAACAAAACAAAACAGAACAAAAAAACCAAAAAUCCCUCGUAGCUUUCUUUUUUGCGAGGACUGAGGAGUACAAGAAAGGUUACUCAGAAGGUAAAGCAUGUGUUUGCCAUCUUAGCUCCUGAUAUGGAAACCAUAUGCUUAAAUACACCACCAAACAUACUCAAUAUAACACUCUUUUUUAUUAAAGGUGGUUUUAUAAAAGCUAUCCACCUUCCAUCCACCAGUGACUCCCAAAGAGGUCACAUAUUCCUCAUUGCAACUAUCAAUAUGUAUUUGGGGUAAAUUAAACUCCAAAUAGACUGUUUCUGAUUAUUACUGCAAAGGGAGCAAGAGGCCAUCUUAUUUUCCCUCACUGAUAAAUUAAAAGAACUGUAAUGGGUGAUUUCUGCAACCUGUAAAAGGGCAAAACCAUCUGUAACUCAUUUAGUGUCGCUUUAAAGAAAAUUUAUUUGAUUAAUUUGGGUAGAGUAUAGAAAGAAUAUAGAUUUAAGAAAUAGUAAUAAUAAAGCCCUCUACUGCUCAAGAGGAAGAAGGGAAGAAGCAGCAGCAGAAGAAAACUCCGACCCAAAAUAAACAUUUGAGGGAAUUAAAACAUGCUUCAUAUGCUAUUAGAAAUAUUCCUUAUACAGGCUGCUGCCUUGAUCUUGAGAGAGCUGAUUUUUGCCCUGCCAACAAGAAGACCUUGCCACGACAUGGCUCUAAGAGCACCCAUGUCACAGAACUUCUUGUCAAAUAAACUGUUGUUAAAUGCAGCACCUGAUAGAUAAAGAGAUAAAAACGAGUAGGGAGAAAGAAGAGGGAGAAAGGCUGGCAACUGUCCAUCCUUCAAAGCAGAGUUGAUGGUAGUGACCCAAACUUCACCACCUUUGUCUGGCCUGACAAGCAGGAAGUGGAGAAAAGAUCAAAAGAAAGUGGAAAUCAAAAGGAUUAAUACAUUGAAAUUCUUCUGUUUUGCCACAGGCUGUCACCCUAGCUCCACACAUGGCUCAGCCAGCCAGGCGUGCUCCAUGCAAAGCAAGGGGAGAGAAAUAGCUAUAGAAGCUCAGAAGUUUUCUCCUCCUGAAAUUUCAUUGGCCUGCAGGUUACCCGCAAUCCCUACUCCCCUGCUGACAAUUUGGAGAGCAAUAUUAAAUAGUAACGAUAAUAAAUACUAAUAGGUUAAUCUCCGUAAGUCAUGCCAAAUUCUAUGGGGCCAGGGUUUGGCAAAAGCGGUCUGCCUCAGAUGUGGAGUAUCUAAUGACAUCUUUACUGUUGCAGGGUGUGCAUGUGGCAGGCGGAGAUGUCAUUUGCACUCUGACACAGGCUAAGUCACUUACAGCUAUGGAUCUCAUCAGAGGCUUGCACUGGGCCCUGGCCAAACCUUGCUUAAAUCAAAGGGCGGGUUUGCCUUAUUGUCUCUGGGCUGCUUUUCACUCACCCUGGGAGGAGGCAGGAGGCAGGCAGAGCUCCAGCCCUCUCAGCCAAUAAGUCUGGGUCUGAUGUGCUGAAACCGUGAAGGAUCUUUUCUUUGGCUUCAGUGAGCCGUAUACCUGGGCAAACCUAGUGCUCCGUGUGGUUAUUUGUUCUUGAUGACCUCAUAUCGUCCCUUUUUCCUCUCUUCUGGGUUAUCUUAAAGUCCCCAUUUUGUUUUUCAGAGGUUGGAGUUAAAGACAUCUGCUCAGAAAUCCAUAGGGAGACAUGUUACGGUGUUCAGCCCCUCUGCAAUCAAUGGACGUGAUAUGCCUACACUGCUCCGAGGCUUUAGGACCGGUGGAGAUGGGUACCUGCAAGGAUCUGGAUCUCCCUUAGAAGCUGUGACUCAUCCAACUGCAUUCACUCCCCAAUAGCACCAGCACGGGCGCGAUCCCACGGGAAGCUCUCCAUCACCCCAGGACUGACACACUACUUACCACAUGCCUCAUCUCCCUCUGCUGAGCUCCUCAUGAGUCAGUUGGACUGCAUCCCUACAGUCACAUGGCUCGCUCCACUUUGAAGAUCUUGGAUAAAAUCACCCUUUCCAGGACAAGGAAACUUCUGGUUUCGUAGCUUGCAGCAGAAAGCACAGAUGGACCUUCACACUGUAAAUGGGAAGAGAGGAAAAAGUACUAAUCUUUUCAGGGCAUUUUGGAAACAAAGCAGUAAGAAUUUCUGGAAAGCAAUAAUGCAGCAUUUGCAAUACUGGGGAAAUGACAGAAAACUGGGGAAUACUCAUCCAGAUAUUUUAUUGCUAAAAAUUUGUUACAAUAUUUCUCAUGAAAUAUGUUGAUUUUCUUAAUUAAGCAGUAGCUGAAGUGUAGGUGCAGCCACCCUCACCCUGCUAAGGUCAGAUCUUCUCCAUACAUUUCAGACUUUGCCGUGAUUUAUGCAAAGAAAGAUCCAGUGAUCCCAUGGUGCCCUUCAGCUCCUUUUGCCACAGAGGAAUGUCAGCUUCAGGCCUGAAAAUGCUCGAAGCAUUCAGAUAUGUUUUUGAUAUGCAGACUGUUCAGCUUCAUUUUUUUUCUCACGUUGUCUCCUUAUUCUGAGUUGGGCACUUCUUGCCAAGCAACAAAAGGAAUUCCGUUUGACAUUAGGGUAAAUGGCCUUCAUCUGGGUACUACAUAAUGUUGACUGUGUGUGGUAUCAUGAAGGCUCCUGGCUGAGCAGCAAAGACCUGUGAGAUAAUGCUGGUGCGAGUUUGUGCUAUGGCAUCACACAGGGAAACCUCCUGGCUUGUUUUUACAAGUACCUCUCCAGCAGAAGAUUAUUGAUCUCUGAAUCAACACAGUGACACGGGAUCGUGAUCCAGCCAACAUGGAGAUUCCACUGAGCAUCAGAUAGACUUGUAAGUCCUGACCCACCUAUGGAAAUACAUGGAAAUCUCUCCCCUGAUGUCAUCAGGAGCAUCACUGGGCAAGAGGAAGGAAGGCAGGUACACUGCCAGCAGUCUGGUGGUCCAUAACCCUUCAGAAGCACUGAACAAGAUCAGCUGCAAAGGAUAAUCAUGCUCAACUGCAGGGCUGCAGUGGCCCAGUGAACAUGGGGAGCCCCAGCACCUCAGGGGUAUAGGCUACACUGAAUGCUGUUCCGCUGAUGGAAGAGAUUCUGUGCUCAGUGCUAUCAGAAACAGAAAAUACUUUCACAAACUGAGAGGGCAAAAUAGCUGUUCCCAACCCAUCUUCAGUCACGCAAUCACAGAAUCAUUUGGUUUGAGAUGGAUCUCUGAAGAUCUCUUCUCUGAGCUCCUGCUCAAAGCAGAGUGAGUGCUGAAUUCAGACUGGGUUGCUCAUGGCUUUGCAUAUUAGCCCUCAGAGCCUUCAAGGAUGGGGAUUUCACAGCCUUUCUGUGUUACAGAACUGUUGUCUGCUGUUGCUAUCUGCUGCUCCAGCUUUUCCCAAAACUCUGCUGCUGCUCUCACACAGCUUCUUGCUCACCCUACAGAGCCAGAGCUCUGCAGAAGCCAAAGAGUUCCCAAAUAGGAACUGCUGGCCCUUCCCCUUCCCACACUAGAGAGACCUUUCCUGGCGCUCCGUCAUACGGUUAACACAUGCUGUCUCUGCCCUGCCAGCAAGCUGUGAUCCAGAGUGCUGCUCCUGGCUCCGUCCCAUUGCAGGGAAGGGGCUGGAGCAUGGCCAGACCCCCGGCCCACCUGCUGGGCUUCCUGCCCCCACCACAGCUUGGGACAGGGCAGGGGGUAUAGGCCUGGGCCUGGCCCCAGCACAGAGCAGGGUGCAACACAGGUGUCUACCCAGAGUUGUGUUCCUUUCUAUGGUGCACAUUUCACUGCAGCCUCUGUGCCCAGCAACGGGAUGGAGCUGGCACUGGAUGAGUCAGAGAUGGAGGAAGGAAAGUCUGGCAGGGAGGAAUGCUUGUGGCCUUCUCACCAAACAUCUCAUACUGCUCCUUCCCCUAACCUAAGGAAACGAGGCUCCAGCCAGUGGUUUUGGAUGCUUUUCCCCAAAACCGGUUUCUUUCACAAUGGGUUGUUUCGUCCUCAGCCUGGGCCCCAUGGGGAUCUGAGCCCUGUGGGCUACAUGCCGCAGCCUGGAUGGACCUCCAUAGAUAGAGGGGGCUGAGAGGGCAUCGUGCUCCGGGACCCUUCCCCUAUGGAGGGAAAGGAGACCUCCAGCUUGGGUUGUCUUGUGAAAUAAAGCUCCCGCCUAUUGCUGUCUAGGCCAACAUGGCAGCUGGGAGGAGGAAAAGGAG